rnacentral:misc_RNA from 1 species
UAAUCCCUCUGGGUAGUGGUGUUUACGCCACUGCCUGGGCCUUUGGCGUGGGGGAAAUGUCCGCGGUGCUUUAACACCAGGAGUUUCUGUCCGCGGUGCUUUGGCACCAGGAGUUUCUGUCCGCGGUGCUUUAGCACCAGGAGUUUCCCACCCGCUUAAAUACGGAGAAAGCUAGCCGGCGAUGCCCCAAUGCAACGACUUGUAUGUCCAGCGUCGUAAUGCUUCUGGAGCUCCCGGCCUCUGAACAAUAGAGACCCUCAGGUCCCAGAU